AGUGAACGCUGGCGGCAUGCCUAAUACAUGCAAGUCGAACGGAAGCACAGUAAGAGCUUGCUCUUACGGGUGGCGAGUGACGGACGGGGGAGGACUACAUCGGCAUCUACUAUUUCGGGGGGGAUAACGUGGGGAAACUUACGCUAACACAGCAUACGAUCGACUGGCGUAAGCAGGAGAUCUUCGGCCCUUGCGCGUCUGCUUGAGCCGAAGUCGCAUUAGCUAGUUGGUGGGGUAAAGGCCAACCAAGGCAACGCUCCGUAGCAGGUCUGAGAGGAUGAUCAGCCACACUGGAACUGAGACACGGUCCAGACUCCUACGGGAGGCAGCAGUGGGGAAUAUUCGACAAUGGGCGCAAGCCUGAUCCAGCCAUGCCGCGUGUGUGAUGAAGGCCUUCGGGUUGUAAAGCCCUUUUGUUGGGGAAGAAAAGCAGCAGGUUAAAACCCCGCUGUUUUGACGGUACCCAAAGAGUAAGCACCGGCUAACUACGUG
rnacentral:rRNA from 1 species